rnacentral:misc_RNA from 1 species
GAUGAAGAACGUAGCGAAAUGCGAUAAGUAAUGUGAAUUGCAGAAUUCCGUGAAUCAUCGAAUCUUUGAACGCACAUUGCGCCCCCUGGUAUUCCGGGGGGCAUGCCUGUCCGAGCGUCAUUGCUGCCCUCAAGCCCGGCUUGUGUGUUGGGUCUCGUCCCCCUUCCCGGGGGGACGGGCCCGAAAGGCAGCGGCGGCACCGCGUCCGGUCCUCGAGCGUAUGGGGCUUUGUCACCCGCUCUGUAGGCCCGGCCGGCGCUUGCCGAUCAACCAAAACUUUUUUCCAGGUUGACCUCGGAUCAGGUAGGGAUACCCGCUGAACUUAAGCAUAUCAAUAAGAGGAGGA